GAUGAACGCUAGCGGCAGGCCUAAUACAUGCAAGCCGAACGGCAAGUUUGAUAGCAAUAUUGGACCUAGAGUGGCGCAAGGGUGCGUAACACGUAUGCAACCUGCCCGCGACAGGAGGAUAGCCCCCCGAAAGGGGAAUUAACCCUCCAUAACACCAUGAGAAGGCAUCUGAUUAUGGUUAAACCGCAAGGGGUCGCGGAUGGGCAUGCGGUUGAUUAGCUAGUUGGCGGGGUAAAGGCCCACCAAGGCGGUGAUCAAGAGGGGUUCUGAGAGGAAGGUCCCGCACACUGGCGCUGAGAAACGGGCCAGACUCCGACGGGAGGCAGCAGUAGGGAAUAGUGGACAAUGGUGGCAAGACUGAUCCAGCCAUGCCGCGUGCAGGAAGAAGUCCUUCGGGGGCGUAAACUGCUUUUUCCUGUGGAUAAAAUACCCGUGCGCGGGAAAUUGAAGGUAACAGGGGAAUAAGCCACGGCUAACUACGUG
rnacentral:rRNA from 1 species